UACGGAGGGUGCAAGCGUUAAUCGGAAUUACUGGGCGUAAAGCGCACGCAGGCGGUCUGUUAAGUCAGAUGUGAAAUCCCCGGGCUCAACCCGGGAACUGCAUUUGAAACUGGCAGGCUUGAGUCUCGUAGAGGGGGGUGGAAUUCCAGGUGUAGCGGUGAAAUGCGUAGAGAUCUGGAGGAAUACCGGUGGCGAAGGCGGCCCCCUGGACGAAGACUGACGCUCAGGUGCGAAAGCGUGGGGAGCAAACAGG
rnacentral:rRNA from 1 species